UCUUGGCCAGAAAGCUGAUCCUUGGCUGGUCUAAUUAGCUGGUUUAAGAUGGACAUAGCUACUUCAGACGUUCCUCCCAGCCUGGCAGAGCUGGUCAACCUGCUACAAAGUGGCCAAAACCCAUUUAAAACCAACCUGCUUUAAACAAGCUUUCUAAAACACUGCUUUUGGGACUUGUAAAAUGUGAAGUAUUUUUUCAAAAGGAAGAACUGUCCUUUGAUGUCAGGCGGGUUAUGUAUUUCAGUGACUUAUAGAAAGGCAGAUCUACUGAGAGGCGUGGUUAAUCUGAGAAGAAUAAAAAGGAUUUGAUAAUGUGUUUGUAGUGUACCUGUACAUUUGGUCUGUGUGAAAGAAUAACAAGAGGCAACUUAAAAAAGUCACAUUGAGGCUUGGACACCAUAAGAACCACAGAUGAUGGAAGAAGAAUCAGACACUGAUUCUAAAUCUUCGAGUUCAGACAGCAGUUCAGGAUCUGACUGGAGCGAGAGUGAAAGAAAGAAAAGACAACAAGGGAGAAAAUCGAAAAUGACAAAACGAAAAUAUUCUAGGCAGUCUUUACAGAAACGAAUGGAAAAAAAAUCUCAUCUUCAGGUUACAUGUGGGGAUAAAGAGGGUUACCUGUAUUUGCAGAAGUUUUCUAACGGUAGAUGGAAUUUUUAUGUGUUUCUACUUAAAAGGAA